CAAGCCUGAUCCAGCAAUGCCGCGUGCAGGAUGAAGGCCUUCGGGUUGUAAACUGCUUUUGUACGGAACGAAAAGCCUCUCUCUAAUACAGGGGGGUGAUGACGGUACCGUAAGAAUAAGCACCGGCUAACUACGUGCCAGCAGCCGCGGUAAUACGUAGGGUGCAAGCGUUAAUCGGAAUUACUGGGCGUAAAGCGCACGUAGGCGGACUUUUAAGUCAGGUGUGAAAUCCCGGGGCUCAACCUCGGAACUGCAUUUGAAACUGGAAGUCUGGAGAUCAGGAGAGGUUAGCGGAAUACCGAGUGUAGAGGUGAAAUUCGUAGAUAUUCGGUGGAACACCAGUGGCGAAGGCGGCUAACUGGACUGAUACUGACGCUGAGGUGCGAAAGUGUGGGGAGCAAACA
rnacentral:rRNA from 1 species